rnacentral:lncRNA from 1 species
AUAUUUAUUGCAACAUAUUGGUUAUGUUAAUAUCUAUUUUUCUAAUUCUUUUUUCAUUUCAGGACAUCCAAACUUUGAAAUGCCUGAGGCUGUCUAAGAGUCUUCAUAGCAUGUAUUGACAUGCAAAGGGUUCCAGACUUUCCCACUUCACUCCCAAAUCUCAGGAAAUGCCCUCUACCCAACCUGAAUGCCCCUGUAUGGGACUGUGUUAUGUACCACCGUGUCCUCAUGUCCUCCAACCACUAGAGAAAAUGCAAAGCGGCCCCUCCAUACACCGUUUCCCAAGGAAGAGGAGCUCACAGGGCUUAGAACUUCAAGAAGGAGUGAAACAAAAGCUCAAACCACAUAGUUUGAGCACCGAUGGUGCACCUGGGAAUACAAAGGUUGCUGAGGAAAAGAUCCCUGUUUUCACAACUGACGGACAUGUUGGCAUAAAUGAGAUGCACUAGAUUUGAUGUGGUAAGUGUGGUAAUGAAAGGAGGAAACUUCGUGCUGUGGUGGCAGAGAGGUGAGGGUCAACUCAGCCUGGACAAUCAGUAGACCCCACAGAGACAUGGCUAACCAAAGAAACGGGCAGAGGGGCCUAAGUGACUCAGUCGGUUAAGCAUCUGACUUCAGCUCAGGUCAAGAUCUCGCCCUUACUGAGUGCAAGCCCCGCAUCGGGCUCUGUGCUGACAGCUCAGAGCCUGGAGCCUGCUUCAGAUUCUGUCUCCCACUCUCUUCCCCUCCCCCACUCAUGGUCGCUCACUCUCUCUCUCUCAAAAAUAAACACUUUAAAAAAUUUAAAAGGAAAGAAAUG